AUUAUGACGUACUUGUACUGAUUGAGAUUUUAACACGAAGUGAGUGGCGAACGGGUGAGUAACACGUGGGUAACCUGCCCAGAAGUAGGGGAUAACACCUGGAAACAGAUGCUAAUACCGUAUAAUAGAGAAAACCGCAUGGUUUUCUUUUAAAAGAUGGCUCUGCUAUCACUUCUGGAUGGACCCGCGGCGUAUUAGCUAGUUGGUGAGGUAAAGGCUCACCAAGGCAGUGAUACGUAGCCGACCUGAGAGGGUAAUCGGCCACAUUGGGACUGAGACACGGCCCAGACUCCUACGGGAGGCAGCAGUAGGGAAUCUUCCACAAUGGACGCAAGUCUGAUGGAGCAACGCCGCGUGAGUGAAGAAGGGUUUCGGCUCGUAAAGCUCUGUUGUUAAAGAAGAACGUGGGUAAGAGUAACUGUUUACCCAGUGACGGUAUUUAACCAGAAAGCCACGGCUAACUACGUGCCAGCAGCCGCGGUAAUACGUAGGUGGCAAGCGUUAUCCGGAUUUAUUGGGCGUAAAGCGAGCGCAGGCGGUCUUUUAAGUCUAAUGUGAAAGCCUUCGGCUCAACCGAAGAAGUGCAUUGGAAACUGGGAGACUUGAGUGCAGAAGAGGACAGUGGAACUCCAUGUGUAGCGGUGAAAUGCGUAGAUAUAUGGAAGAACACCAGUGGCGAAGGCGGCUGUCUGGUCUGCAACUGACGCUGAGGCUCGAAAGCAUGGGUAGCGAACAGGAUUAGAUACCCUGGUAGUCCAUGCCGUAAACGAUGAUUACUAAGUGUUGGAGGGUUUCCGCCCUUCAGUGCUGCAGCUAACGCAUUAAGUAAUCCGCCUGGGGAGUACGACCGCAAGGUUGAAACUCAAAAGAAUUGACGGGGGCCCGCACAAGCGGUGGAGCAUGUGGUUUAAUUCGAAGCUACGCGAAGAACCUUACCAGGUCUUGACAUCUUCUGACAGUCUAAGAGAUUAGAGGUUCCCUUCGGGGACAGAAUGACAGGUGGUGCAUGGUUGUCGUCAGCUCGUGUCGUGAGAUGUUGGGUUAAGUCCCGCAACGAGCGCAACCCUUAUUACUAGUUGCCAGCAUUAAGUUGGGCACUCUAGUGAGACUGCCGGUGACAAACCGGAGGAAGGUGGGGACGACGUCAAAUCAUCAUGCCCCUUAUGACCUGGGCUACACACGUGCUACAAUGGAUGGUACAACGAGUCGCGAGACCGCGAGGUUAAGCUAAUCUCUUAAAACCAUUCUCAGUUCGGACUGUAGGCUGCA
rnacentral:rRNA from 1 species